AUCUGGAGAGGAUGCUUCUGGCGCGGCGCCUUCCGAGUUCCCUGGAACGGGACGCCGGAGAGGGUGAGAGCCCCGUACGGUUGGACGCCUAGCCUUUGUGAAGCUCCUUCGACGAGUCGAGUAGUUUGGGAAUGCUGCUCAAAAUGGGAGGUAAAUUUCUUCUAAAGCUAAAUACCGGCCAGAGACCGAUAGCGCACAAGUAGAGUGAUCGAAAGAUGAAAAGCACUUUGAAAAGAGGGUCAAACAGUACGUGAAAUUGUUGAAAGGGAAGCGCCCGUGGCCAGACUUGUGCCCCGCGGACCACCCGGCGCCCUCAGCGCCGGUGCACUCCGCGGGGCGCAGGCCAGCAUCGGUUUUCCUAGGGGGAUAAAGGCGGCGGGAACGUGGCUCCCUCGGGAGUGUUAUAGCCCGCCGCGCCAUGCCCCUGGGGGGACCGAGGACCGCGCUUCGGCAAGGAUGCUGGCGUAAUGGCCACCGGCGACCCGUCUUGAAACACGGACCAAGGAGUCAAGCAUUGGGGCGAGUGUCUGGGUGCCAAACCCGCACGCGAAAUGAAAGUGAACGCAGGUGAGAGCUUCGGCGCAUCAUCGACCGAUCCUGAUGUUCUCGGAUGGAUUUGAGUAAGAGCCUUACCGCUUGGACCCGAAAGAUGGUGAACUAUGCCUGUAUAGGGUGAAGCCAGAGGAAACUCUGGUGGAGG
rnacentral:rRNA from 1 species